CGAGAAGGAAUGGUGAAGGAGGAGGAGGGGAUAAUACGACCAACGACAAUUCGUCGAACAAGGAGAGCGAGAACGGCUGAAAGUGAGUCAGGGAAUGAGAAUGAGCGGGUGAGCGAGCGAGAUGGAAAUAGCAGGAGAGAGAAAGAGAGAGGGAGGGUUCGCUGUCUAAGAGAGUAAUAGAGAAUGCUAGAGUGAGCGAGUAAGAGAAACGCUUAUGCUAGUAAGACCGUCUACGUGUUUCGGGCUCUGCGGGCAGAAGGAGACGCAAACAUAAGCAGUGGGGAUUGUAAGGGCCUGCAAGGAAGAGAGACGAAGAGGAAAGAGAGUAAUAAUAGUGGAGAGGAUGGAGACAGCAAGAAACCUUUCUCCCUCCUGAGAGUAGUGAAUCUUCAACGUGGCAAAUAAAGCUAGAAGAACUCGUCGGCCAAAUUACGUACCUCUGACAUUCGACUAGCGCUUCGUAUGUUUACGGAUAUUUUCGGUCGCUCGAGCGCUGAACCACAAUGGCGCGUCUCGUAUUGAGAAAGAUGUACUUAACGAGCAAAGGUGAUAUGAGAGCUCGAAGCUCGACCGACGCUCAGUGGAUUCUCAAAGAAUCAGGGACGUAGAUAGAUUAGUACAAAGUAAGAAGCGGCAAAGAGCCGCGGGCAUUAACGAAGGACAAAGUGUAUACAAAUGUAAUCAGGAUUUUCUAAGGCUGCUUCUUUUAUUCUCCCGCUUCUGCUUUUAUUCUCUCGUCGCGCAUAUCUGUAUACACAGUACGAACCUCUGUAGCUAAUAAAGGCGGACCGAUUAAGACGUCGAAAGGUUUAAAUGUAACAAAGUAACUCCAUACGCGCCAGCCAUCACGCUCUCCUAACCUCAUAGUGCUCGUGGUGCUUCUCGGCAGCGGCAAAGGGAUAUCCUGGUGCUCGUUAUCUACCGUUCAACAACUCCCUGGCCAAUCCUCGCAGCCAUGCAAACGAGUCGACAUCACGCCUGCCUCAAUGUGCGUAACGAAUUGCGUUUAUUCCCCUAUUGGGACUCUCAUAAGCAAUUCAAAGCAAACACAGAGUCUGUAAAGAUAUUUAUUUACGAUGCUACUGACAUUACUACCAGGGAAAAUAUUGAUUGUUGCCUGUACUCGUAGGUGAGUUUAUUCGAGUUUCCUUUUACUUUGGGGAUAUGAAUUUUUAUAUUUUAAAUACAGAAGCCGCGCGUAUACCCAUAAUGACUUAACCUAACCUAACGGUGUCACGCUGACAGCAAUAAAGCCUCAGGAAGUGCUUGCGUGGAAGGUGGCACAAGGUAAUGGAGACGAUGAAGGUGACGGAAGUGACGUAGCCUGUAAUAAACUGCGAGAUACGGUUGGCGCGAUAGGGAAGUCAAUCAGGACAAUCGUAUCGUAACGAUUUCGAGGACAUAAGCGAAAGUUAACUGAAUUCUAUUUGGAACGAUUUUCAUGUUACAGUGCGGAGUGUCAGCACGCGAUUGCUGUACUUAUCAAUACAACGAUAACCUACGAACGACAUUUGCCAAUGAUCUAAGGAUCUAAAGCGCUGUUUGACGUUGCGCAAGAGAGCACUAACCACUUGUCAUGAGUCAGUUCGUUUAGGAUCGUUAGGCUCUAAAUGCCCGUACGACGCCCGAGAUCCUUGGAACGUUCUCGCGUUAGCGUCAACGUUCGCGCCGCGACGCUUUUACUAUGACGCUUUGCCUCUUGUGCGUCGAGACCUCCUUCCAUCGGGGUCCUGUGCGAUUUUACCCUAUUAGUAUGAAUGAGUAUAUCGUACCAUGUAUACGUGGUAUAUCUAUAUAUGAGUAUAUAUCUUUUGGAACGUGCGAGAAUUCGAUUAGUAGGUAUUGAAAAAAGAAUUGAAGAUGAUUAUGAGCCAAGGCCGAUCUCCCUUUAGAGAGUUUUCAAUCUGGGUAAUAAAAUACAAGUGUCCCUGACCAUUUUGCUUUCGAUUAAUCAGCCAGCCUUUUUUAUUGCAGGUAAACACUGGGACUUGUCAGGGCAAACUGAGGAUUGUUCCAGAUCCUGAAAAUAUCACACUUGCAAGUACUUGGCACAGAUAGUACAAAUUAGUCUGAUAUACUCGGACUAUUCUUCAAGGUGAAUCUACGAGUGCACUUCGCGUUUGCGUGCUCGUUAUCGCUAAAUAACGAGUAUAGCCAACUAACCGACCAACCUACCUACCUACUUGCUUCCUCGUCGCUGCUAUGCCCAAUUACCUACCCAUCCUGCACUUUUAUGCUUGCCAGUGCUACGUCCUACUGUUCCAUUACAUUAUUCAUAAUAUUAUAUUAUCUGCCAUUUUCAUUAUUCUCACCGUAUACGUUUUAUAUCCCACGGUCUUGUUAUACCUUUAUUGGAUUCUCUUUUUAAUUUUUUUUUGUUAAUUAUAUUCUUCCUCAAGAUGGAGUCCAAGUUUUACAUUUUCAUCAAGGAUCAGGAGCGUUAUGGCGAAUUUGCAUGUAGGAUGAAAUUGAAUAUUUUCUAAACUCGCAUCAAGUACCCGGUAUAAAUUUUAACUGUUGAAUAUGGAUUUUCUGAGUCUGUGAGUGAUCGAUGGUCGAAGUUAACGAGAGUGAUCCUUAACUGUGAGUAAAAAGAUCUAAUCCAUAUGUAUUGAUCCAAUAGAAAUCGUCUCUGCAUACCGGACGGCUAUAAGAUGGAGAAAUCGCUGAUGAAGAUUCUGUACGAGGUCCAGCUUGUAAUCAAGUAAACGAGCGCGCAGCUACCGGUUCACAUUUCAAGAAUGCCUUGAAACGUCAAGAUUAUCUAUGAUAAAAAGAAGUGAUCAGAGCUGCACUUUCGAUUGAGAUCCCGUCUUGCUCCACCGCCCUCUGAUCAUCCUAGUCCUCCUCUUCCUCCUCCACGGGGACCAGCAGUGCCAACAACUGUCGUCGACUCAUUCACUUUGAAGAUUUAACGAGCAUCCUCAAAGUCGAUAUAACGUCCAAAGAAGAUUUCGUAAAUUUCACAAUUAUUUCAAAUGUCCUUAAUCACCUCUAUUUAUCUCGUAAUUCAAUAAUUCAUACGGUUCCUACAUUUAUAAUGUAAAUUCAAAAUUACCCACUCUAAAACCAUAGCUGAUAAUUAAACUUCUAUCUACAGAUCUACAAGCCUAUUCCGGAUGGAUAUUUCGGUAGAAUGGUCAUUACGUAUUAAGAAGGAAAAAUAAUGUCUAGGACGCCGCUGCUUAUGUCGCGUUUCGUCGUUCAUUCUGUUUUACGGGCAAAGCACGCAUCUCCAAGUACACACGCACGCACGAUUGCGUUUGAUGUACCAAGGACAAAGAGCUCGUCCUCCGGAGUCGUUUGAGUUGGCCAAGUAUCAAGUCUGCAGAGAGCACGAGGAGGAGAGGGUACAGGAAGAAGAGAUGACCGGGGAGUAAAGAAAGAAAGAGAAGAAGAAAAAAAGAGGCCAGAAGAAGAAAAGACCAUCAGGCACGUAGAUAGGAGGAGCAGAAGAACCAACACGUAAACCGUAUAGAGAGAAUAUACGGGAUACUUCUCCUGCUUGGCUAAAGAUUAUUUCUCCUGUGUGCAAUGCCCUGUCAAGGUCACACGCAUUAAUCACCCACUCGCACGCAUUGCUCUCUUCGUCGUGCACAUUGCUAUGAUACUUUCUCCCCGAGAGAGACAGACGUCCAAGGAAAAUGGAAAGAAUGCCAGUCGAUGAGAAAAGAAGAGAAAAUUAUUGAAGAGACCGUUUCACAAGCAUUUCUUUCUCGGAGUGACGUAAUGGCUGACGUCGAUUAUGACUUUACGGUCAACGUUCAUUGUAUUAGUUAUGCUCUUUUUAAAUGGACGUUCAAGACCUCACUGACUGGACCAACCGUGAUGAGUAUAUGGUGGAUGACAGGCAAUGAUGCACAGGUUGGUUUUAACGUUCAGACAUAGACUACCAAGUUUUACCAAGGUUGGCAAAAUUUGAAAAAGACUCCUGAUUAUUUUUUAAGAUCUACUUAUGCUGAUAAAGAACGGUAUAAUAAUUUUGAUAAUUA